rnacentral:lncRNA from 1 species
AUUCUGGAUUUACAGAGAGGCCUGCUCUGCUUUCCCCAGAGACUUCAAGUAUAUGGAGUUGAGCUCUGUCGCCCAGGCUGGAGUGCAGUGGCACCAUCUCAGCUGACUGUGACCUCCGCCUCCUGGGUUCAAGUGAUUCUCCUGCAUCAGCCUCCCGAGUAGCUGGGACUACAGGUGCACACCACCAUGCCCGGCUAAUUUUUGUAUUUUUAGUAGAGACGGGGUUUUGCCAUGAUGGCCAGGUUUGGUCUCAAACUCCUAACCUCAAGUGAUCCACCCUCCUCAGCCUCCCAAAGUGCUGGGAUUACAGGCGUGAGCCACUGCGCCCCGCCUACUUGAAUUUUUUUUUUUUUUUUUUUUUUUGAGACAGAGUUUUGCUCCUGUUGCCCAGGCUGGAGUGCAACGGCAUGAUCUCGACUCACUGCAACCUCUGCCUCCUGGGUUCAAGUGAUUCUCCUGCCUCAGCCUCCCAAAUAGCUGGGAUUACAGGUGCCCACCACUGUGCCUGGCUGAUUGUAUUUUUAGUAGAGAUGGGGUUUCAUCAUGUUGGUCAGGCUGGUCUUGAACUCCAGACCUCAGGUGAUCGGACUGCCUCGGCCUCCCAAAGUGCUGGGAUUACAGGCAUGACCCACUGUGCCCGGACCUGCUUGAAUUUUUAUGAUGAGCAUGUUGGCAGAUCACGACUGCCAGCUCCGUGACAGCAAGAACCUUGUAUGACUUUUUCAUGAUGGAUGUUCAUCUGUGCCAUCUGUAAAUAUUGAAUAAAUAUUUGUGGAAUACAUGAAUCUAAAAGUGAAUGGAAUGAUAAAGAGGGAAAGGGUCAUGACAUCUACUACAGCAUUUGGCACAGACCCAGGUUUCCCUGGUACUGGUAAUUCCCAGCAGCUUUCUACAAUUCCAAAGCUGUCUGCAGUACUAUCAAGAGAUGACAUGGACUUCAAGGAUCAAACAGGGGAGAAAAAGGCUUAAAAGAAAAACAAGUCUCCAUCAAAGGUAAUAACCACAAUGAGAACUAUACAUAGCUAUGUGCUUAUAGGUCUUAGUUCACAUUCCCCUCAUUAAAAUUAUAGCUCAAGAAAUAAAGGGCUGUUUAAUGACUUGGGUAUAUAAAUAUACUUCAUUUGUAUAUUUUUUACUUGCUAAAAUCUAUCCAAAUUGGUAUUACCUCAAACCAUAAUCUUCUACUGUAUUUUAUAAUUUUACUUUAUUGCCAUGUAUUUUUCCCACUGAUGUUCACAAAUUCACAGGAAACAUCAGCCAUGUACUAAAUAAAAUAUGAAUUGAAUCGACAAAUAGAACUAUAAAUUUAAUUCAAGCACAUGUAAAAUUUAGACCAAAGAAUAAAAAUGUCUAUUAAAAAUACAGCCAAGCAUGGUGGCUCACACCUGUAAUCCCAGCACUUUGGGAGGCCGAGGUGGGUGAAUCAUCUGAGGUCAAGAGUUUGAGACCAGCUGGCCAUUGUGGUGAAACCCCAUCUCUACUAAAAUACAAAAAUUAGCUGGGUGUGAUGGUGGG